rnacentral:rRNA from 1 species
UUCUCCUGGAAACGGGUGGUAAUGCCGGAUGCUCCGACUCCUCGCAUGGGGUGUCGGGAAAGAUUUCAUCGGUAUGGGAUGGGGUCGCGUCCUAUCAGGUAGUCGGCGGGGUAACGGCCCACCGAGCCUACGACGGGUAGCCGGCCUGAGAGGGCGACCGGCCACAUUGGGACUGAGAUACGGCCCAGACUCCUACGGGAGGCAGCAGUGGGGAAUAUUGCACAAUGGGCGCAAGCCUGAUGCAGCGACGCCGCGUGCGGGAUGACGGCCUUCGGGUUGUAAACCGCUUUUGAUCGGGAGCAAGCCUUCGGGUGAGUGUACCUUUCGAAUAAGCACCGGCUAACUACGUGCCAGCAGCCGCGGUAAUACGUAGGGUGCAAGCGUUAUCCGGAAUUAUUGGGCGUAAAGGGCUCGUAGGCGGUUCGUCGCGUCCGGUGUGAAAGUCCAUCGCUUAACGGUGGAUCUGCGCCGGGUACGGGCGGGCUGGAGUGCGGUAGGGGAGACUGGAAUUCCCGGUGUAACGGUGGAAUGUGUAGAUAUCGAAAAAAAACACC